UGGGAGAAGGAAGUUUACCGGUUUUCGGGUGGCGAAUGUGCUUAAUAAAUACAAAACAAAUAAACAAUGAGCCUCUGAGCGGCCAUCAUAUUACGAAAUGCAACGUUUGCUCACAUUAUCGAAGCAAAGGACAUCGUGCUGCAUCUCAACCGCAACAAAAAGGUUUGGGGUCCGACACCUUUUGGACGUUAAAUGCAGAAUAAGGAUCUCCCCGGGAAGGAAAUAAUACUGUUACGGACCUACUUGGUCUUGCGUGAGAUUUUGGGCUUCCCAAGCUAGCUCACUUUCCAGGGCCGUGGUUCCCCUAACCCUGCCCGCUCACGUCAUAACAAAAACAUAGAAUUCAAAAACUUGAAGUCUACGUUGUACAACACUUUAAUCUCCACGUUUACAUUCAAAUUCAAAUACGAAUUAAACGGCAACAUCUCUGAGUUUGUCGACAUCACAUUAUCUUAUCUGACUCCUGUUAUUGGGCACUGCUGAGGUACUGGAGGCCACAUGCUCAUCCCUACCCGACCUUGCAGCCUGCUAGCAUAUUUAUGCGGCUGCCCCAAACAUUCACCUACACACAUUCUACCCACCCAUUCCUAGUGUAUUCCUUUUCCCAUUAAUUCAACUCUACUCCAGUUUCACUUCCUUCCCAAAUACUUAUAAUUUUAUUUGUUUACAAUUUUCAUAUUCAUAUCCCUGACUUGGUCCGAAUAUCCACACUGGAUUUCUUUCAACAUA